UUGAUAUCUGUUUCUACACUCGAUAUCAACAUGACACAAUAUCUGAUUCAGGAGAUAUCCCAAAUCUUAUACUACUUUAGCUUCAGCAUGAACUUCUUUCUGUAUGCGCUUUACGGAAAACAUUUUCAGAAAUCUCUCAGGUUUAUGUACGAGUCGUUCAAACUGACGUGUGGGUGCACCGAUAGAACAGGAUAUUUACAAAGGACGAUGACUUUGAGAAGUUGGGUUUAAGGGGGUGGAUGGUCGUUGGCAUAGAAUAUAUUGAUCUCCUUUAAAAGAAGAGCUCUUUAGAACGAUUAUAUUGCAAAACAUUCAAAUUUAAAGCUAAAAUUAAUGGGGUUUUUACUGAAUGAUAAUUUGUAGCAUAACACACUGUAUGAGAAAUACAACGUAGAUCUGGACGUUAAUUUGUUAUCCACCCAACUUCUUAGAGCCCUCAUGGCGUAACAUGUGAUGUGCUUGGUAAUGAUGUAUGUUUUUUAUCAAUUACUGUUUCUUGAUUAGUUUUCCCGGUUUCUUCAGAUAUGUGUGUUAUUACUGGUAUACAUAAUUAUGACAAAGCAUAAUAGAACAGGUUUUGCCAAUAAAACAGAAAUUGGAAGAAAAAUAUAAAACUAACACAAAUUGGCAAUGUAUAUUGUGAUUCUUUUCAUGCGCAGAGUAUUUAUUUCCUAAAAAACACGAUUGCGAUGCAUAGUUCUGUAGAAAAUGAAAGUACUGAACAAUACACAAUCCAUAUCAUACAGGUAUCAGUUAAACGAAUGCCAAAACCUAGCGCAACCCAAGAAAAAUCACGGAAUGAUUAUGUCUGACUCAAAUUUCCACAUAAGAAUAAUUGGCUAUAUCAUCCAUCUAAACUUCUAAUGUACAUUAAGUACAUAAACAAUAACUUAAUUACUUCAACUAAUUAAUUUUUUAUAAGUGUAAAUGUAAACAAUAAACUGCUAUAUCUGAUGUUUUAUGCAAACAAUGAAGAUAAUGACCCUUUGCAGAAAUAAAAAAUUAACACAAACACUGGUAUGCAUUUUUAUAUGCAGUGUCGCUACCCUCAGACCCACAAAAAUCACCAAAAAGAGCAUUUUAUGUUACACAUUAAGCAGAAUUUAAAUGACGAAUUAAUGUUGAAGACUAUCAUAGCCUCAUUUAAUGCCGUGUAAUUUUUAACUAAAAUUGCUUUAAUAAUGAUCCAAAUUGAACCAUAUUCCAAAUAUUUGUAAACGAUAUUCUCAUAUGCAUGUGUCUACGUGCAAUCAAUCAGUUCUCUAAAGUGUGUCAUUCUCAUAAGUAAACGAUAUGUCUUGUUAUUUUUCUCAACAAUGUGAACAAUAUUGACUUUAAUGAAAUGUCUUGAGUGAAAAAAGUGUUAAUAGGUGACAGAAGAAGCACAUCACGUUCAUCCCUUUUAAAUGUAUUAUGGGAAGGGUGGAUCUUCUUAUUACCAUAUACAAACAACAAAGUACACGUAUAUCAUAUUAAAUUGCUGCGUAUUGUUUCGGGGUUUUUUAUUUUUGCAUUGUAUAUAUUUGUAUAUAUUUACAACACGUGUCAUUUGUACAUGUUUUAACGAUUAUACUUCAUGUCCGAAGUUGCCUGAAAUCUUACCUUUUUUAUACUCAUAUUCUUUGAUUGUGUUGUGUUUUAGAAAUCAUAAAAAUGGCGAACAUU
rnacentral:sRNA from 1 species